UGGGGUCACCUUUACAGGCAAUGUGGUCAUGUCUAUAAAUAAACAAUGGUUAACAAAAAUUAGCGAAGGAAUUGCAAAAAACAUGGGUGUCAAGUGACUCCACUGCCAUAAAGGCAGCUCUUCCCUUGUAAUCUAUGAUAGUAGUGGACUCAUAAGAAGUAAGGAUAUGCACUAGGUCAGAAGUGCCUAAUUCUUCAGAGUAUAUUUCCAUGCAAGUAGUGUGUCCAUUUGCUCUGGUCGAAGCUAAAUUGCAUACUAUGGAGAGGACUUUCUCAUUUGCUUGCUGCUAGACCACUUUCGAACACAUGGGGCUCCUUCAAUCCAUGACAAUCCUAUUGAUGCUUGUGGGCCAUCCUAUAAAUCCGCCAGAUUUACCUACACUUGAAUAAUGCUUAGAAUAUUUUAUAGUAGUUGAGGAGGAAGAGCAUGAGUUUUGUUGACUGAAUAAUGCUUCUAGGUUCGUAUUUUCAAAUGGGGAGAGUUUAUGGAAGGCAUGGUAGUUUACAUGAUCAACUGGAACUAUCAAAUGACGGCUAACUUAGCGAAAUACCACAAUAUAACCACGAAACAUAGAGGUUUUCAUCUUCUUUGCAUGCAAGGGUGCUUUCAAUCCUUCAUGGAUAAAAAAAGAAGGUUGAUUCGAGGGACUCACUUUAGCUGUCACACCUAGAGGGAGUCCGGGAAUAAUGGAUCAUCGGGCCGCUUACCUACUUUCAUGGCCCGGACUCCUCGGUUGUCCUAUAAUUGUCACUCGAAUCCGGACUACAAGAAGACAUCGUAUCCAAGAUGGACUCUUACGAAGACUUGGUGUGCAC
rnacentral:lncRNA from 1 species